rnacentral:rRNA from 1 species
ACUCAAAGGAAUAGACGGGGGCCCGCACAAGCAGCGGAGCAUGUGGUUUAAUUCGAAGCAACGCGAAGAACCUUACCAGGUCUUGACAUCCAGUUAAAGCUAUAGAGAUAUAGUGUGUGCUUGCACAAACUGAGACAGGUGGUGCAUGGUUGUCGUCAGCUCGUGUCGUGAGAUGUUGGGUUAAGUCCCGCAACGAGCGCAACCCUUGCCUUUAGUUACUAACGGGUAAAGCCGAGGACUCUAGAGGGACUGCCGGGGACAACUCGGAGGAAGGUGGGGAUGAUGUCAAAUCAUCAUGCCCCUUAUGACCUGGGCUACACACGUGCUACAAUGGCCACAACAAAGAGGAACGAACCCGUAAGGGGGAGUGGAUCUCAGAAAAGUGGUCUCAGUUCGGAUUGUGGGCUGCAACCCGCCCACAUGAAGUCGGAGUUGCUAGUAAUCGCGGAUCAGCAUGCCGCGGUGAAUACGUUCCCGGGCCUUGUACACACCGCCCGU